GGCCAUCACUGACGCUCAUGGACGAAAGCCAGGGGAGCGAAAGGGAUUAGAUACCCCUGUAGUCCUGGCCGUAAACGAUGAACACUAGGUGUCGGGGGAAUCGACCCCCUCGGUGUCGUAGCCAACGCGUUAAGUGUUCCGCCUGGGGAGUACGCACGCAAGUGUGAAACUCAAAGGAAUUGACGGGGGCCCGCACAAGCGGUGGAGUAUGUGGUUUAAUUCGAUGCAACGCGAAGAACCUUACCAGGGUUUGACAUCCUGCGAAUCUCUUGGAAACAGGAGAGUGCCUUCGGGAACGCAGUGACAGGUGGUGCAUGGCUGUCGUCAGCUCGUGUCGUGAGAUGUUGGGUUAAGUCCCGCAACGAGCGCAACCCACGUCUUUAGUUGCCAGCAUUUAGUUGGGCACUCUAGAGAGACUGCCGGUGAUAAACCGGAGGAAGGUGUGGAUGACGUCAAGUCAUCAUGCCCCUUACAUCCUGGGCUACACACGUACUACAAUGCUACGGACAAAGGGCUGCAAGUUCGCGAGGACAAGCAAAUCCCAUAAACCGUGGCUCAGUUCAGAUCGUAGGCUGCAACUCGCCUACGUGAAGGCGGAAUCGCUAGUAAUCGCAGGUCAGCAUACUGCGGUGAAUACGUUCCCGGGCCUUGUACACACCGCCCGUCACACCAUGGAAGUUGGCCACGCCCGAAGCCGUUACUCCAACCCUUGUGGAGGAGGACGUCGAAGGUGGGGCUGAUGACUGGGGUGAAGUCGUAACAAGGUAACCGUA
rnacentral:rRNA from 1 species